GUGGGCGUAGCUCAAUUGGUCAGAGCGCCGGACUGUGGAUCCGGAGGUUGGCGGUUCAAUUCCGCUCGUCCACC
rnacentral:tRNA from 1 species